rnacentral:rRNA from 1 species
GGGAUCCGAUUUUAGCAUGGAAUAAUAAAUAGGACUUUGGUUCUAUUUUGUUGGUUUCUAGGACCGAAGUAAUGAUUAAUAGGGACAGUCGGGGGCAUCAGUAUUCAAUUGUCAGAGGUGAAAUUCUUGGAUCUAUUGAAGACUAACUACUGCGAAAGCAUUUGCCAAGGAUGUUUUCAUUAAUCAGGAACGAAAGUUAGGGGAUCGAAGACGAUCAGAUACCGUCGUAGUCUUAACCAUAAACUAUGCCGACUAGGGAUCGGACGGUGUUAUUUUUUGACCCGUUCGGCACCUUACGAGAAAUCAAAGUGCUUGGGCUCCAGGGGGAGUAAGGUCGCAAGGCUGAAACUUAAAGAAAUUGACGGAAGGGCACCACCAGGUUUUGGUGCGUGCGGCUUAAUUUGACUCAACACGGG